GACUGCCUGGGAUGUGCGCCAGCAAGCCGAUGUCCCUGAGCCGAUGCUAGCAGUAAAGGGGCUCACUGGGCGACUAUUGAGCAAGCUCGACUCGUAUCGAGAAGCCUGCGGUCGUUUCAAUUGCGCCCCGCCUUGAACCAGUGGGUUCAAGGGCCAAGGCACGCAGCGGCAUUCUGGGUGGUCA
rfam:Idiomarina woesei strain DSM 27808 genome assembly, contig: Ga0061064_106